CGUAUUUCCGACAAUGGGCACAUCAAUCUGUUCAGGGCGGGUCUGACAUCAUGCCUGUAAAGUCUGGUACUGAUCAGACUGGAUUUCAUUGAGUUAUACUAAUUUGUUUCUUCAUGGCGUGACAUCAAAGUUCGCCAUGCUGCUGGGGUCACACCCUUUGGCGAAAAGUCACAGUUUUCACUGUAACCCAAGACCAACUCCUUAAGGCUUUCCUGGAGAAAUUUGAGGCUGCAGAUGUCACCCAUCACUAUACUGUACCCCAAAGUGUAAAACAUGACAUUUCCUGUUCCCACUAGGUGGCGCUGUCCUUGACGUCAAAUAUGGCAGUUGAAAUAUGUUUAGGGGUGGAGCCUUAUCAUAUGUGUUCACUUUGGUCAAGGUCAGAAAAUGUAUGACAAAAUGAGAGGCAAUAAGAUUUUCAUGGCGAGUCAUCGAAAUUCGCCAUGGCGCCACGGCCUCAUAGUAUUGUGAAAACUCAAAAGCUCCGCAAUUUAACAUGGCACAAGGGUGUAGUUGACACUGUCCAAAUUUGAAGCUUAUAGGACCAAAUCCCAAGGAGGAGUUCGUUAAAGUUCGAGGCAUGGAAAUGGCAAAAUUAGAGCCAAAAUGUCACCUUCUCUUCCAAAUGGCGGACUUCCUGUUGGGUUUGCGUCAAUGGGCCCACAGACUUUUUUGUUCGUCUUGGCAUGAUACACAUGUGUGCCAAAUUUCAUACAUGUAGCUCAAACGAUGUGGUCGUAGGGCUGCAUUUAACAAGGCAUAGGUGGCGCUGUAGAGCCAUUUCCCAGUGCUCAUAUGUAAAACCAUUAAAAUACAA
ensembl:lncRNA